rnacentral:rRNA from 1 species
UAAAAGUGGCGUACGGGUGAGUAACACGUGGAUAAUCUGCCUUUUAGUGGGGAAUACCGUUGGGAAACCGACGACAAUACCGCAUAAGCUCGAAAGAGGAAAGCAGCAAUGCGCUGAAAGAGGAGUCCGCGGUCGAUUAGUUAGUUGGCAGGGUAAAAGCCUACCAAGACUGUGAUCGAUAGCCGGCCUGAGAGGGCACACGGCCACACUGGCACUGAAACACGGGCCAG